rnacentral:rRNA from 1 species
AGAGUUUGAUCCUGGCUCAGAACGAACGCUGGCGGCGUGGAUAAGACGUGCAAGUCGAGCGCUGAUCACAGGGUAGCAAUAUUCUGUGGUCGGAGCGGCGCAAGGGUGCGUAACACGUGGGUAAUCUGCCAUGAAGUUUGGGAUAACUUGCUGAAAGGCGAGCUAAUACCGGAUGUGACAAUUAGGAGGCAUCUUCCGAUUGUCAAAGCUGGGGACCGUAAGGCCUGGCGCUUCAUGAUGAGCCCGCGGCCUAUCAGCUAGUUGGUAAGGUAACGGCUUACCAAGGCUAAGACGGGUAGCUGGUCUGAGAGGACGACCAGCCACACUGGAACUGAGACACGGUCCAGACACCUACGGGUGGCAGCAGUCGAGAAUUUUUCACAAUGGGCGCAAGCCUGAUGGAGCGACGCCGCGUGGGGGAUGAAUGGCUUCGGCCCGUAAACCCCUGUCAUUUGCGAACAAGUUGGUUCACUUAAUACCUGAACCAUUGAUAGUAGCGAAAGAGGAAGGGACGGCUAACUCUGUGCCAGCAGCCGCGGUAAUACAGAGGUCCCAAGCGUUGUUCGGAUUCACUGGGCGUAAAGGGUGCGUAGGUGGUGAGGUAAGUCGGAUGUGAAAGCUCGGAGCUCAACUCCGAAAUGGCAUUGGAAACUACCUUGCUCGAGGGUUGGAGGGGGGACUGGAAUGCUUGGUGUAGCAGUGAAAUGCGUAGAUAUCAAGCGGAACACCAGUGGCGAAGGCGAGUCCCUGGACAACUCCUGACACUGAGGCACGAAAGCUAGGGGAGCAAACAGGAUUAGAUACCCUAGUAGUCC